GCGACCCAAAAGCAGACUCCACCCGCCUGACUCUCGGCGGCAAACCUCACGAAACCCUGAUGGACAUGCUGCGCGACAAGGGCGCCGAAAAGAUCACCAACGACGACGUGAUCAAAAAAGGCUUUUUGGACAUCCAGUGCGUGGAGUCCGGCGGCCCCGAGCCGGGCGUUGGUUGCGCUGGCCGCGGCGUGAUCACCGCCAUCGACCUGAUGGAAGAAAACGGCGCCUAUACCGAUGACCUGGAUUUCGUGUUCUUCGACGUACUGGACGACGUCUUGUGCGGCGGUUUCGCCAUGCCGAUCCGGGACGGCGAGGCCCAGGAAGUCUACAUCGUGGCUUCCGGCGAGAUGAUGGCUUU
rnacentral:rRNA from 1 species